UCCUGCUCAAUGGAUUAACUAAAUAGCCGCAGUACUUUGACUGUGCAAAGGUAGCAUAAUCAUUUGGCUUAUAAUUGAAGUCUGGCAUGAAUGGAUUAAUGGAUAAUAACUGUCUUUCCAUAAUGAUUUGAAUUUACUUAUUAAGUGAAAAUUCUUAUAAAAACAAAAAAGACGAGAAGACCCUAGAAAUUUUUUAUACCCAGUUAAAUUUACUGAUCUAUUUUGUUGGGGCGACAUGGUAGCAAUUAACCUACCCAAAUUUAUAUAAAAUUAUUGAAUAAAGUAAUUAAAUUACUCUAGGGAUAACAGCAUAAUACAAAAGAGUUUGUGACCUCGAUGUUGGACUAGGUAAGUUAAUGUUUAGAAGAUGUUAU
rnacentral:rRNA from 1 species